rnacentral:rRNA from 1 species
AGUGAACGCUGGCGGUAGGCCUAACACAUGCAAGUCGAACGGCAGCACAGUAAGCGCUUGCUCUUACGGGUGGCGAGUGGCGGACGGGUGAGGAAUACAUCGGAAUCUACUUUUUCGUGGGGGAUAACGUAGGGAAACUUACGCUAAUACCGCAUACGACCUACGGGUGAAAGCAGGGGAUCUUCGGACCUUGCGCGAUUGAAUGAGCCGAUGUCGGAUUAGCUAGUUGGCGGGGUAAAGGCCCACCAAGGCGACGAUCCGUAGCUGGUCUGAGAGGAUGAUCAGCCACACUGGAACUGAGACACGGUCCAGACUCCUACGGGAGGCAGCAGUGGGGAAUUUUGGACAAUGGGCGCAAGCCUGAUCCAGCCAUACCGCGUGGGUGAAGAAGGCCUUCGGGUUGUAAAGCCCUUUUGUUGGGAAAGAAAAGCAGCAGGUUAAUACCCCGCUGUUCUGACGGUACCCAAAGAAUAAGCACCGGCUAACUUCGUG